AGUAACGCGUGGAUAACCUGCCUUACACUGGGGGAUAACACUUAGAAAUAGGUGCUAAUACCGCAUAAGCGCACAGAGCCGCAUGGCUCAGUGUGAAAAACUUCGGUGGUGUAAGAUGGAUCCGCGUCUGAUUAGCUGGUUGGCGGGGUAGAAGCCCACCAAGGCGACGAUCAGUAGCCGGCCUGAGAGGGUGAACGGCCACAUUGGGACUGAGACACGGCCCAAACUCCUACGGAAGGCAGCAG
rnacentral:rRNA from 1 species